rnacentral:rRNA from 1 species
AUGGUGGAUCAUGUCGUCGGCGCCACCACCACGUUUGCCAUCUGGAAGAAGAUCCAUGACUACUUUCUCUCGAACCGCGCCGCCCGGUUCAUGAUCCUCAACAGGCAAUAUCGCAACCUCAAGCAAGGCGACCUCUCUGUCCAGGAGUACGCUCGUCGCAUGAAACUCCUUACCGAUGGUCUCGCCGACAUCGAGCACGCCGUCACCGAGAUCGAUCUCACCACGCAAUUCCUCCACGGCCUCGACAAGUGCCUCGACACCAUCCGCGUGGUUCUCGGUGAUCAGGGGCUGCCGUUCGACGUCGUGCUCUCCCGCGUCUCCUUGGCCGAGGAGUCCAUGGCGCAACGCUCCGCCGAGGAAAGCGCCUCGGUGUUUGCCCUCCACAACGGGGGCUCUUCUUCUGGCAGCAGCUCGAGCACCGGUGGUCCUCGUGGGGAUUGGUCCGGUGAGCGCACCACGGGCCCUUCGCCGCAUCCCCCUGCCCGUGGCCGCGGCGACCGCCACGGUGAUGGUGGUGACCGUGGGCGUGUGUGA